ACUAGGAUUAGAUACCCUAUUAUACACAGCGUAAUUUGAGAUACCAGAAGAGUAUUAGUUUGGUUCUAGAAAAUUAAGUAGUAUGGCGGCUCAAUGCCCAUCCAGAUACAUAUGCAAGUAAUCGAAAUUGCACGCCAAUCUUACCUUCGCUAAUAUUUUGUACAUCGCUGUCAUGAAAGACUAGUAGUUAAAUACGAGUCAACCUCUAAAAUGAGAGAAAUGUCAAGUCAAGGUGCAGAUUAUGCGGGGGCAUACUGUGUAUGUCAGUAAUUGAUCAUACUGUCGGAUUUACUUAGGAAGUUAAGUAAAGAAGAAGAAUUUGGUAGUAAGCUACAUUCAUUAUAUGAAGCUGAAUAUACUUUGGCUACAUUGAGUGUACACAUCGCCCGUCGC
rnacentral:rRNA from 1 species